UGAGCGAGAGGUAUGUCUUUAAUGUCAUGUCAGCUGAUUAAUUGCUUGGAUGUUGUUAUAGUUCUAAACUAUGAUUUGAAGUACUUUAGAUGUAAUUCAGGUUUGUUCAUUUAUAGUAAAUGUGUAUUAUCUGUGAGUGCUGGUAAAGGAAGUGUAUGAUGAUGUCCUGUCAAAAAUUGAUCAGCUCCCUGAUGGAAUUCAGCAGGAUUACAACAAUUCCUUUGGUGUCCAAAUUCAUGGGUCAGCUUGAUCAUUUCUCCUCUCAGCUCCUCAAAAAUUUCAAAAAGAAAGGAGGAGUAGCUGCACAGAAGAUCACAGACAUCCUGUCAGUUUUGGAUCAGAGCAUCACCAUUGAAAAAAGCAUGAAUGCAUCCUGAAAGCCUUAGUGGUCUACCUAAAUGAAGAUCCUUCAAACAUAGUGAAGUACAUGGACACUGAACAUGAUGAAGCCCAAAUUUUGAUGAGCAAAACCACUCUCAGAAUCUAUGCCAUCAAAUGUGAAGGGGCAGAUGUUGCAGACCCAUACGAAGAUGUUGGUGUCAUCAUCGAAGGCAUUUAAGUAUUUGAAAACUUGGACAAUGUAGCUAAUGCUUGUUCCAUGAUGGUUGGUCUAAUUUAUGCAUUAAACUUGGCUUACCCCCAGGAUCUGAGAUAUACUUUUGAAAUGUUUCAAAAGUUUUUAAUGGAACUCGAUGCCAACAAGCUGUUAAACAAAGUCCAGGUCUUAAAAAAUAAACUCCUUUCAUAGGCACUGUAACUUGAAACGAGGUUGUUAGCUGAUUUUUCAAGAAGGUGUACUUUAUACCGUUAAAGAAGGCUGUUAAUUUUUUCCAAGUAUAAAAAGCAUUUUUGUCAAUCCUUUCAUUUAAAGGCUGCAUGCUUUUAUUUUACUUUAUACUUUUAUUAGUAUUAUAAUACUAUUUUGUUAAGACAGCAUGUAGA